UCAUGGUUUUUGCUUGCCAUUAGUGUGUGCUGAAUCGUUAUCUCAGUCAGUAUUGAAGGUUGAAACGUUGAGAUUGUUUUAAGAAUCGUUUUGCUAUCUUAGCGUAAGUUUCCCGUGAAAGUUAAUGACAGACAUCAUCAUGUUCGCAGCGAAGAGAGAAAUCUAUGGGCUGCGAGUUGGCUGCGGCUUAAAUCAUAUUUCAAUCAGCAAUGAAAGAAUAAAAAGUUAGGGUUGUGUGAAUGGUGGUUUUGCCGUCUCGGCUUAAAUUUCUUCUAAAUGUUAGUGAAACAAAACAUGAAUUUCAUCUUUGUGAGUGGCAAAGAAUUUACUAUGACCAAUAGAAGAUAUCUUGUGUAGUCGAAUCUUUCGUUCAAUCAAAAUUUUUGAUGUAAAACAUGUUGUGCGAACACCACCGCAUCCCUGCAUUUACUCGCGUCCCGAGAAUUACAUAACAUACUCUUCAUUCCUCUAUUUUUGCUUACAACGAUCGAUCAUCUAAUGUUGCCGAUGCAUUAAAUCGUUUUGUUGUCCAUAAAGGGUCAUUAUUUUAUUGCCCGGCCUCCCAACCCUUGCUUGCCGAGCAUUUGCACAUAGUCAUGCCCAUAAAGUAUCAAAGAAAACGAAAAAAUAAAUGGUUUUAGCGAAAUGAAGGACGAUUGAAUUGCGGGAAAGUAUGUAAGGUCCGCCAAGGAGGAAGUGGCUUUCGGUGAAAAAAAUUUCAAGCUGUGUUGCAAUGGAAAAAAGCAAUUAAGUUGUAUACAGAACUUUGCAUGAUUAUAUAACGAUAAAAGCAAAAUGAUUACACGAAAAAGCGUGGGAGGAAAGAGUUGUACGCCGUCAACAAAGUCCAAAUCAUUGUAUUUCAUUCGUUAUGUAUUUUAUUUAUCUCUGUUUUAUUUAACAUACAAAGCAAUGCCAAGCAUCCCUUCGUCUUUUAUAGAUUGCCUUAUACUUCACAAAUAUCUGCAAUUUGAUUGAUUUUCUCUCGAAACCCAUGAAAUGCGUUACAAUUUCGCGGUUUUAGCUAAAGUGAUGACUAUCACAGUAGCGGUUAAAGUUGCUGGGAACUUCGAUGUUUACGGGAUGAAUCGUUUGUUCCGCUAACAAAAUAUAUGUGUCAACAAGUGCCUACUAUAAUCAACAAGCUUUGACCACAACGUACGAGUGCAGGCCCUUGUUCAAAGUGUAUUUACGACAACACUUUUGUAUGCUACAUUUAUGGCUACAUCGCGGAAAAUAUUUGGAUUUUAUCUUAUCACCAAAUGAAUUUAUGUACGAUAUAUUUGUACUAUUUUAUUGCUUGUUUACCUUUCACUUUGCGCACGAAAUACAUGAAAUAUAAGACACAAAGACAAGCUUUUAUACUUUAGAACUUAACGAUCCAAAGUGAUAGCAACAAAGGCAUGAAGAAUUCACGGAUUAUUUAUCUUGUUGAGCCCUUAAGUGUUCGUAGUGGCAGUCUUCCAAUCUUUCCUCUUAAAUGUAUCAUUUGAAAUAUGUUUUGCGUAAAUUUUUGGUAUGGCUCAAUGGACAAUCUUCCCUCAAAGUGAUCUUUCUCCUCAAAAUCAACCGAUCUCUUCAUUCAUGGACGAUUGUGUCCUGGGUGGUUGACGAUUAUCGGAAAUCUGUUAGUCCUAAUUGUCCAUUAUUUUUUAAUUAUCUCCUCAUGUGUUGGGAGCAUUCAUACAAAGGAUAAUUGAAACCAAGUAGGCUUUUUAAACCUAUGAUUGUUUAAGCUUUCCGUAUGGAAACUGAUAUCUCUCGAUAUUUCACGAACAGCUGGUUUGUUGCUAUUUAAGUUAAUCGUGUGGUAUUUUUGGUGAUGAAUUUUGGAAGAUUUUUCCGUUUGCGGUGUGAGGGGGAAGUUGAAAAUGCACUUUAUUUGAGGGAGUGUUUUGCUUGCGUGUCACCACUUCUAUUAUAGAUUACGAUCGAGAGAAAAUCGUGUUACCAAAAGACGGGGACCUGUUUUUUCGAAACAUAAACAGGUGUUAGCUUCACUUUUGAAAACAAAGCUAUUAGGUUUCAAUCUAGUCACUUCCAUCUUCUACAGCACGAAAUCAUCAAUUACAUAAUUGGGCAGGUCACUGUCAAUCACACAAUACGCAAACCAAGCUUUUCCUUAGCAUUGAAAUUUCAUUGUCAGCUUUGUUUCUGUUGUCAACGAGACUUCGUUGGCUUUGCUUGUUCUUGACAAUAGCGAAUAAGCUGCCCCCCAGUACGACUACGCCAUAUUGUUGUUUCAUCUUCCGCAUUGAAUAUAAGUCGCAUUUGACGCCCAAACCAAAACCUAAAUCUUAUAGAAAAUGCGUUUCUUCCUAUGUGUUAUGAACUGUCUACAUUUGCAUUUGUGCGGCUGAAUGCUUUUCGUACACGACAUUCGCAAGAAUGUUGAAUUGUUUGUUUGCCAAACGACAAACGUCACCUAAUGUUCUUCAAAUACGAAGUUUAGCUGCAUUGUGUAUUCACGUUUUUGUGUUUCAAGAUUUGUGAUGAGAAGAUUUCAGUGUGUUUAAGUGCUUUGCGGCUUUUGAUAAGGCCACUAAAUACAUAUAGUCGAUAAAGCAAAAUGCCCUUCACCCCACGCAAUCGAACGCGAGAGACGCAACUCCCAUUAUCAAUGAUUUUGGAAUUCAGCCAAUGAGAACGAUGGGUUGUGUAAAGGUUAAUUGGACAUGUGCGACCAGCUGCGCCUUUAAAAACGCGACUUGAAGCAGUCGUCACCAGUCGCUUCUGUGGAUACGAAACAAACGCUAUCUGCAAAGUGUUGAACGACCGCUGACUUUUGGUAGAAGAUAUCGUUUAAUAAACAGAGUUGAUUCAGAAAAUGAAUUCCAAGAAUAUGCUAUUUUUUUGCCUUAUGGUGUGCCUUCUUCUUGACUAUUACCACAAGACGGAAGGAUUCCUUGCAUGUAAGCGUAUACUUAAGAGAAAAUGUAGCAGACGGACGACAAGGCUGGUAAAGAGAGAGUUAAAAGAGGCUCGACAGACAAACAGGGAACUUAAGAUGAUAAAAAAGUAUUUAAAGAGAACUUUGUCCAGGCAGAAAAGUCGAAUUCCUAAAUUUUCGUGACGUGCAGCCUGAGGAUGUCGGCAGUUUUGUGGUAGUUUGGAAGUUCCGAUCUUUUGAUGGUGGACAAUUUAAUUUUGAAUAGAAAUAUCUUCGAUGUUCGAUAAGUGUUAUUACUUGACCACGAUAUUAAUAGUGUUAAUUUCAUUUUAUUUAUCGCUUUAGAAAACACUCGGUUGGACCGAAACGAUAAUACUUAUUUUAAUGUUAACAAUAAAUAGAUACACACCAACAGUAAUACUGUUAAUUAUGAUAUGUGCAUUCUAUUUUGUGCUGUUAUGUUAAGUUAUAAUCGUCAAAGCAAACAAUCUUUAUCAGCUUACUGUAAAAAACCAUAGAUAAGUGAAUCCUCGUAAAUUACAAGAGCUAUCUCCCGUACGGUAAAUGUUGUACCAGGGAGAAAUGCCCUCGAACUUUUAAA